UCUGCAUGGAACGGGUAAAAGGGAAGCAGGUUAGAAUCCUGCACGAUCUCGUCACUGUGUCGAGGGAAUCGUGUUUCAAUGUAAGUCACUGGGUAAAACCGGGAAGACAGGAAAUACGGUGCUGAUCUCCAAGUCAGGAAACCUGCCGUUUAUCAU
rnacentral:ncRNA from 1 species